GACGAACGCUGGCGGCGUGCCUAAUACAUGCAAGUCGAACGAACUCUGGUAUUGAUUGGUGCUAGCAUCAUGAUUUACAUUUGAGUGAGUGGCGAACUGGUGAGUAACACGUGGGAAACCUGCCCAGAAGCGGGGGAUAACACCUGGAAACAGAUGCUAAUACCGCAUAACAACUUGGACCGCAUGGUCCGAGUUUGAAAGAUGGCUUCGGCUAUCACUUUUGGAUGGUCCCGCGGCGUAUUAGCUAGAUGGUGGGGUAACGGCUCACCAUGGCAAUGAUACGUAGCCGACCUGAGAGGGUAAUCGGCCACAUUGGGACUGAGACACGGCCCAAACUCCUACGGGAGGCAGCAGUAGGGAAUCUUCCACAAUGGACGAAAGUCUGAUGGAGCAACGCCGCGUGAGUGAAGAAGGGUUUCGGCUCGUAAAACUCUGUUGUUAAAGAAGAACAUAUCUGAGAGUAACUGUUCAGGUAUUGACGGUAUUUAACCAGAAAGCCACGGCUAACUACGUGCCAGCAGCCGCGGUAAUACGUAGGUGGCAAGCGUUGUCCGGAUUUAUUGGGCGUAAAGCGAGCGCAGGCGGUUUUUUAAGUCUGAUGUGAAAGCCUUCGGCUCAACCGAAGAAGUGCAUCGGAAACUGGGAAACUUGAGUGCAGAAGAGGACAGUGGAACUCCAUGUGUAGCGGUGAAAUGCGUAGAUAUAUGGAAGAACACCAGUGGCGAAGGCGGCUGUCUGGUCUGUAACUGACGCUGAGGCUCGAAAGUAUGGGUAGCAAACAGGAUUAGAUACCCUGGUAGUCCAUACCGUAAACGAUGAAUGCUAAGUGUUGGAGGGUUUCCGCCCUUCAGUGCUGCAGCUAACGCAUUAAGCAUUCCGCCUGGGGAGUACGGCCGCAAGGCUGAAACUCAAAGGAAUUGACGGGGGCCCGCACAAGCGGUGGAGCAUGUGGUUUAAUUCGAAGCUACGCGAAGAACCUUACCAGGUCUUGACAUACUAUGCAAAUCUAAGAGAUUAGACGUUCCCUUCGGGGACAUGGAUACAGGUGGUGCAUGGUUGUCGUCAGCUCGUGUCGUGAGAUGUUGGGUUAAGUCCCGCAACGAGCGCAACCCUUAUUAUCAGUUGCCAGCAUUAAGUUGGGCACUCUGGUGAGACUGCCGGUGACAAACCGGAGGAAGGUGGGGAUGACGUCAAAUCAUCAUGCCCCUUAUGACCUGGGCUACACACGUGCUACAAUGGAUGGUACAACGAGUUGCGAACUCGCGAGAGUAAGCUAAUCUCUUAAAGCCAUUCUCAGUUCGGAUUGUAGGCUGCAACUCGCCUACAUGAAGUCGGAAUCGCUAGUAAUCGCGGAUCAGCAUGCCGCGGUGAAUACGUUCCCGGGCCUUGUACACACCGCCCGUCACACCAUGAGAGUUUGUAACACCCAAAGUCGGUGGGGUAACCUUUUAGGAACCAGCCGCCUAAGGUGGGACAGAUGAUUAGGGUG
rnacentral:rRNA from 2 species